rnacentral:rRNA from 1 species
UGGGGAAUAUUGGACAAUGGGCGCAAGCCUGAUCCAGCAAUGCCGCGUGUGUGAAGAAGGCCUUCGGGUUGUAAAGCACUUUUAUCAGGAACAAAAUACCACGGGUUAAUACCCUAUGGGGCUGACGGUACCUGAGGAAUAAGCACCGGCUAACUUCGUGCCCGCAGCCGCGGUAAUACGAAGGGUGCAAGCGUUAAUCGGAAUUACUGGGCGUAAAGGGUGCGUAGGCGGUUCGUUAAGUCUGUCGUGAAAUCCCCGGGCUCAACCUGGGAAUGGCGAUGGAUACUGGCGAGCUAGAGUGUGUCAGAGGAUGGUGGAAUUCCCGGUGUAGCGGUGAAAUGCGUAGAGAUCGGGAGGAACAUCUGUGGCGAAAGCGGCGCACUGGACCAUAACUGACGCUGAGGCGCGAAAGCUAGGGGAGCAAAC